UAGGGAAUCUUCCGCAAUGGGCGAAAGCCUGACGGAGCAACGCCGCGUGAGUGAUGAAGGUCUUCGGAUCGUAAAACUCUGUUAUUAGGGAAGAACAAAUGUGUAAGUAACUAUGCACGUCUUGACGGUACCUAAUCAGAAAGCCACGGCUAACUACGUGCCAGCAGCCGCGGUAAUACGUAGGUGGCAAGCGUUAUCCGGAAUUAUUGGGCGUAAAGCGCGCGUAGGCGGUUUUUUAAGUCUGAUGUGAAAGCCCACGGCUCAACCGUGGAGGGUCAUUGGAAGCUGGAAAACUUGAGUGCAGAAGAGGAAAGUGGAAUUCCAUGUGUAGCGGUGAAAUGCGCAGAGAUAUGGAGGAACACCAGUGGCGAAGGCGACUUUCUGGUCUGUAACUGACGCUGAUGUGCGAAAGCGUGGGGAUCAAACAGG
rnacentral:rRNA from 1 species